ACGGAGGUUGCAAGCGUUGUUCGGAAUAACUGGGCGUAAAGGGAGCGCAGGCGGCUAGGUAAGUUCAAAGGGAAAGCCCCGGGCUUAACCUCGGAAGGGCUAGGGAUACUGGCUUACUAGGGUCCGGGAGAGGUAAGCGGAAUUCCAGGUGUAGGGGUGAAAUCCGGUAAUACCUGGAGGAACACCGGUGGCGAAGGCGGCUUACUGGGACGGUACUGACAGUGAGGCACGAAAGCUUGGGGAGCAAACCG
rnacentral:rRNA from 1 species